rnacentral:rRNA from 1 species
AGGGUGUAAACGCUGCGGGCUUGGUGUUGGGGUCCGUUUGAGGGCGGCCCAGUGCCGGAGAGAAGUUGUUAAGCCUGCUGCUUGGGGAGUACGUCCGCAAGGAUGAAACUUAAAGGAAUUGGCGGGGGAGGCACCGCAACGGGAGGAGCGUGCGGUUCAAUUGGAUUCAACGCCGGACAACUCACCGGACAAGACAGCGGAAUGAUUGCCGGGCUGAAGACCCUGCAUGACCAGCUGAGAGGAGGUGCAUGGCGUAGUCGUGU